rnacentral:misc_RNA from 1 species
UCCGGUUUGUCACCGGCAGUCACUUUAGAGUGCCCACCUUCACGUGCUGGCAACUAAGGUUAAGGGUUGCGCUCGUUGCGGGACUUAACCCAACAUCUCACGACACGAGCUGACGACAACCAUGCACCACCUGUCUCCUCUGUUCCGAAGAAAAGGUACAUCUCUGUACCGAUCAGAGGGAUGUCAAGACCUGGUAAGGUUCUUCGCGUUGCUUCGAAUUAAACCACAUGCUCCACUGCUUGUGCGGGUCCCCGUCAAUUCCUUUGAGUUUCAGUCUUGCGACCGUACUCCCCAGGCGGAAUGCUUAAUGUGUUAACUUCGGCACUAAGGGGUCUAUCCCCCCUAACACCUAGCAUUCAUCGUUUACGGCGUGGACUAC